UGUUGGCUUGAGCGGCUUGUCUGCACCAACUACUGCUGCCUGCUGGUGGGCUGCAUCAUCUGGUGGUCUGCAGCUGGAUCCGGUGGGCUGUACCAUCUACUGCAGACUUCUCCACCUGCGGCUGCUACUGCUGUUCUGCUGGCUGGUGAUAUCUCUGCCUCGUUCCUAGUCACGGUGAUAUCUGCUCUCAGUUCUUCUGCUAUUCUCUACUGUUGGUCAUUUUCUAGUAGUCUCCAACAUGGCACAGAUCAAUGCAAUUGUCAUCAAUAUCACUUUAGAUGGCCAGAAUUACCCAGAGUGGGGCUUUUGUGUUGAGACUGCAUUGAGGGGUUAUGGUCUAUAUUUUCACUUAACUGAUGAUCCUCCUAUUCAUGUGACUGAUCCUAGUAAUGCUGCUGCCAUCCAAACUUGGGAAAUAAAUGAUGGGAAAGACAUGGCUGCUAUGGUUAAUAGUGUUAAGAAAUCUAUGAUUAUGAGUCUUAGCAAGUUUAAAACAGCCAAGGCUAUUUGGUCCCAUUUGAAGCAACGCUAUGUUCAGGAUAGUGUUGCCCUUUUGCAUUCUCUCAUGCAGCAAACACAUGCACUUGAGCAGAAUAACAUGACCAUCGAUGAGUAUUACUCCGCUUUUGAUUGUCUUGUGGGCUCUCUAACUUCUAUGGUAGGUGAUUGUACAGCAGCUAACUGUCCAGCACACAAAUUUAUUGAGAAGUUUUUUAUAUAUCGUUUUGUCAUGGGAGUCAGGGAAGAAUUUGAUUCUAUUCGUAAACGGCUGCUUCAUGAUUCAUCUGAUUUGACCAUGACUCGUGCUCUGUGUGAUCUUCUUGCUGAGGAAACUCGCCUUCGAUCUAUGUCUGCUUCUCCAUUGUGAGUGUCUCACAAUGUAUUGGCAGCUUCUCAGAGGUUCAGUGCACCACCUAAAGGUACAUCUUCAGAAAAAUGUAAGCAUUGUGGCAGGACCAAUCAUAGUUCAGAGAACUGUUUCUCUCAGCAUCCAGAGAAAUUGGCUGAUUUUCAUGCACGUCGUGCUGCUCAUGCGGCCAGAGGUCGUGGUACUGGUUCUACUUCUAGAGGCUCAGUGUCUGUUGCUGCUGCUUCACCCAUCAGUGCUCCUCAAGUCUUCUUGGGUUCGGGCUUCUUUUCAUGUGACCUCUGACCAGUCCCAGCUUGUUGCUAGCAAGCCAGUUGCUGAUGGUGCUUCUAUUCAGAAAACAGAUGAUCGCCGAACCGGGGUGGUGAUUGGGACUGGCCAUCGCCAUAGAGGUUCCUCUUCUCUCUAUGUUCUCGACGCCCUGCAUCUUCCUCAGUCAUCUGCUCAUGUGUCAUCCGCUGCUUCGUCAUCCACCUCGUCCUUCGCCAAGUGGCAUCAUCGUCUUGGUCAUCUUUGUGAAUCUCGGUUGUCUCAAUUAAUAAAUAAAGGAUAUUUAGGUCAUACAUCUCUCAAGUCUAUUUUUCAUUGUAAGGGUUGCAAGCUUGGAAAAAAAUACAACUCCCAUAUUCAUCUAGUGUUUCUCAUUCUGCUAGACCUUUUGAUCUUGUUCAUUCAGAUGUAUGGGGUCUUGCACCUUUUGCUACAAAGGGCGGUCACAAAUAUUAUGUCAUUUUUAUUGAUGAUCAUUCUCGCUAUACUUGGAUUUAUUUUAUGAAAUAUCGUUCUCAACUUUGUUCCAUUCACCAGUCUUUUGUUCACAUGGUUCACACACAAUUUCCUACUCCUAUUAGAGUUUUUCAUUCCGACUCUGGGGGUGAGUAUAUAUCCGAUAUUUUUCGCCAGUUUUUGUCUUCUGAGGGUACUCUUGCUCAGCUUUCUUGUCCUGGCGCUCAUGCUUAAAAUGGUGUUGCUGAACGCAAACAUCAUCAUAUUAUGGAGAAACCUUGCACACUUCUGAUUUCAUCUUUUGUUCCUUCUCAUUUAUAGGGUCAAGCUAUCUCUACUGCUGUAUAUCUCAUAAAUAGUUAACCCUCAUCCAAGCUAUUUGACAAAUAUCCUGGUGAGGUACUUUUUGGUACCCCUCCUAGCUGUGAUCAUCUCCGGUUUUUGGAUGUAAAUGCUAUGUUUUGCUUGCUCCUCGUGAGCGUACUAAGUUGACUGCGCAAUCUACUGAGUGAGUUUUUCUGGGUUAUAGUCCUAAGCAUAAAGGUUAUCGCUGUUAUGAUCCUUCUUCUCGUCGCAUACGUAUCUCUCAUGAUGUGACCUUUGUUGAGGAUUGUCCUUUUCUUUUAUAACCCCUCUACACAACCUUCAUCUUCACCCACAGAGUCCACAUCUUUUAUGUGUCUUCCUUCUAUUUCCAUUACGCCACCUUCACUUCCACCACCUGCACAUGUGCUGCCUACACCUCCUCCAUCACCCUCAUAUGCGCCACCUACACCUCCACCACCUGCACAUGCACCGCCUCCACCACCUCCUCCUCAUCCUUUUUCAAAACCACCUAUCACACGUGUUUUCAGUGUCAUCCGAAAACCCCCACCAAACUUCCUUCUAGUUCAACCACCUCGGCCAGUCCUGAUGUGCCCGCUGUUGAUGGUUCUAAUAAUAAUAUUGCUGAGUCACAUAUUAUUUCUGAUGAGACAUAGGCUGCUCCAAGAUAUAAUCUACAAGAUCACAGUACUAUUCAUCCUGAAGACAAGUAUGGUUUUCCCCGUGUGAAUGCUGUUGCUGGUGAGCCAGUCACUUAUCAGGAAGCUGCAAGUAUUCCAGAGUGGCAUCUUGCUAUGAUUGAGGAGCUUGCUGCCCUUGAUCAUACAGGAACUUGGGAUCUUGUUGCAUUACCGUCACAUGCUGUGCCUAUCACAUCUAAGUGGAAAUUCAAAAUUAAGACCAAGUCUGAUCGUUCCAUCGAGAGAUAUAAAGCUCAUCUUGUUGCAAGAGGUUUUUGGCAGACUCAGGGACGAGAUUAUGAUGAGACAUUUGCUCCUGUUGCUCAUAUGACUAAUGUUCAGACUUUGACUGCAGUGGCUGCGACUUCUUCAUGGACUCUCUCUCAAAUGGAUGUUAAGAAUGCUUUUCUUCAUGGUGAUUUGCAUGAGGAAGUUUAUAUGCAAUCACCCCCAGGUGUUGAAGCUCCUUCAGGAUAUGUCUAUCAUCUUUGACGUGCUUUAUAUGGUCUUAAACAGGCUCCUCAUGCCUAGUUUGAGCGUUUUGUCUCUGUGAUAUAGGCUGUUGGUUUUGCACCUAGUGAUCAUGAUCCUGCCUUAUUUAUUCAUCUCUCUCCACGUGGUCGUACUUUGCUUCUUCUAUACGUGGAUGAUAUGUUGGUUACGGGUGAUGAUAUGGAACACAUUUCUAUUUUGAAGAAGCAACAUGGUGAGCAAUUUCAGAUGUCAGCUUUGGAUCCUCUGAGUUACUUCUUAGGGAUUGAUGUUUGGCACUCUCCAAAGGGAUACUUUGUCUCUCAGUCUAAAUAUAUAGAGGAUCUUAUUGGUCGUUCAGGCAUCAGUGAUAAUCGGACAGCUGCCACGCCUAUGGAUCUACACGUGGAGCUCCAUCCCACUAGUGGUACACCUCUUGAGGAUCCCUCUCAAUAUCGGCGUAUUGUGGGCAAUCUUGUUUAUCUUAUUGUCACCAGACCCGAUAUUGCUCAUGUUGUCCAUAUAUUGAGUUAGUUUUCCGCUUCAGCUUCGUGCUUACUCGGACUCCACUUGGGUGAGUGACCCAACGGAUCGUUGUUCCAUCACAGGAUACUGCAUUCUUCUUGGCUCAUCUCCUUUUGCAUGGAAGUAUAAGAAGCAAGCAGUUGUAUCUUGGUCUAGUAUAGAGGCAGAACUUCGAGCAUUGACUACUACUAUUUUAGAGACUAUAUGGCUUCGUUGGUUGUUGGCUGAGUUUGGUAUUCCAUGUGAUGCCCCCACACCUCUUCUCUGUGAUUAUACAGGAGCCAUGCAAAUUGCCAAUGAUCCUGUGAAGCAUGAACUUAAAAAGUAUAUUGGAGUUGAUGCCUUCUUUACUCGGUCUCAUUGUCAUCAGAAAACUAUUGCUCUACAGUAUGUGCCCUUUGAGCUGCAGUUAGCAGAUUUCUUUACUAAAGCACAAACUCGAGAGCAGCAUCGGCUUCACCUACUCAAACUCAAUGAUUCAGAUCCUCAACUUCCACCUUGAGUUUGAAGGGAGGGGGGUUAAGGCUCUCUGUGUUCCUAUGAGUCUCUCUAUAUUCCAUGAGACUCUUUAUAUUCCUAUAUGGCUUUCUAUAUAUAUGGCCUUCUCCACAUAUUGUGAUUAUUCUCUUAAAUCUCCAAGGUUAGUAACACAUUGAACAUCAGGAUAUUUUGAAUGUUGGCAUCUAGUUUAUUUCUAUCUUUCAAUUUCCUCAUCAAGUUGAAAUCACCUACUAUGAGCCAAUCAAUAUGAUUAGGCAUUGAGAUAUUAUUAAACCAAUAUAAAUUGGAUCCUUCCUUAAUCAGAGCAAGGUGCAAAAAUAUUUGUCAGGACCCAGAUUUUCCUAGAAAAGAGGGAAGUAAAUUUCACUAACUGUGCAUAGGCAUUCUCAAAAAGAAGGGUGCCAUCCAGCUUUGUACCAUUCCAUAAGAUAAUUGAGCCACUAGAUGCUUCCAUAGAAGGGGGAAAGAUAAAUUGUUUUGAUCAAAGAAAGGUAUUUUUAUUUCUUGCAAGCAAAUAAUAUCACAAAAGGCUUCUGAAAUUCUAUCCUGUAAAGAAUUCAACUUUUUCCAUCAUUUGUUCCCCUGACAUUCCAAGAAAGAACUUUCCAGCCAUGAGAUAAAGUGGGAGAAAAUGCAUCACAUACAUAUAUAAUAUAUGAUGUUAAAAUGCAAAACAUUGAUAAGAUAAAGAUCCCAUGAAAGAGAAGAAGCAUUGAUAAGACAAGUGACAACUAUAUAACAUAAAGGAGAACAAAAGAAAUUUCCUUUGGAGUUUUAAAGGACUGGGAGCUACUAAAGCUGAUUAAGACAAGCAUCACAAAGCUCAAAAUAUAAAAGAACAAGUGGUGGAUAGGUAGGAUCCACAAGAUAAGAGGUUCAGUUCCUAGCAUCAUCAGCAUUUGCGCUCUUGAAUUUCUUGGGCGUAGAAGGCUUCUUCUCCUUUGGCUGAGUAGAACAGGCAUUAUCUUGCUUUUUCACAACUUUUCUUUUUCUUUGGAGCUUGUCAUGAUUGUGUUGUCAUUAACCUCUUCUGAGCUCAAGUUGUCAAAGGUGAUGCCUAUGUUCUUGACAAUAGUGGGCGAGAGAGUAGGGGUCUCAUCUCUAUAGGCAAAGCAAUUUUUCUCAUUGCAGCUACUUUUCUUGAAGUAUUUGUUCUGCUAGUUGAUUCUAAGGCUUCUUCUAUGUGACUCUAUUUUCAUCGGAUGGAAGUCCAUCAGGGGUUUCUUCUUUCUCACCCUUGGUUCUGCUGAGGAAGUGGUUGAGGUGGAAUGAGUUGGGGUGGCAGGUGUAUCCUCUCCCUGGUCCUGUAUUUUUUCCUGAAAGUUCUCAAUGCAUGACAUGAUAUAAUUAGGACAUUUAGAGGGCAGAGAGAAAGAGAGGGAGGAAGAAUUAUUAGGAACUGAAUUAUUUAGGAAAAGCCAAGCUUUGGAUGAGAGAAAAAUCUUAGCCCAAUCAAAAUGAGUUGGAGAUAACAGGAGAUGACUAAAGAAAUUUGACCAUGCAUAGGGGAUUUGGACUUUGGAGGAGCUGGGAGCCAGGAAGUCAAAAAAUUUGGCCCUCAAGCAAAAGUUAUCAGGACACGGCUUCUUCAAGGAAAGUGCUAGAAAACUAGAAUCGAUAGAAGAAGAAGUGUGAAGGUUCUGACUAACCCUAGUUGUAAGUUCUGCUCAACAAUUGGAAUUUCCACAUCAUCAUUGCAGAACAUCAUCCAUUGGAAUAUCAUCUACUAAGAAGUUGACUGGCUCAAGUAUGGAGUAGGUGGUUGUCAGGUAGGGAGUCACAGAACCAGUUCUGGAUCAUCAUCUGAAAGAUUAUGGCUGCCUUGCAUGUUGACAGAGCUAGAUGUAGCUGGGUGGGAGAAGGAGAUUGAGUGACUCUGGUGCUACCGGAGCUGUUCAAGCUAAUGAAGUUUGGCUGUUGGUAUGUUAAGAGCUUGGUUGUACUGCAGGAUCUGCGAAGUUGUUGGGAUUUUCAUGCUCUGCAGCUUCCUAUGCAUCAAGAUGGGGCACAUGGAUAAAUCGUCUGGGAUGUGAUGAUGGGCCUCAUCCUAGAGCUCAGGUUCCAAAUUAAGGUUAAGUUCCUCAUUUUUAUGGGCUUGUUGAAUGUGGGAUAUUGUGGAACAUAGGGGGCCAUUGUUCCAAGUAGGCCAAAAUUUUUCCAAUAGUUGAGGUUGUAAAGGAGGUUGCUGUUGUUGCUGGAGGUUUGGUGGGCCUUGACCUUCCUUUCCCAAAGCCAAAGAAAUCAAAAGGGGGCUGAUUAUCCACAUCAUCAUCAGACUUAGUUUCUUCGUCACCAGGUUGUCCUCCCAAGAGGUUGUGUUGGAGGAUUUGACAUUGAAUUGUCAGAGAAUUUCCAUGAAAAUCUUAUCCAUCUGUAAAGACAAUGAACUGUGGCACUGACUACAGAUUAAUAACUCUUGUCUUAGCAAGUAUUCUGCAUUUAUUUUUAGGGUCCCUCUCUCAAGAGAGAAUACAUGCAAAGUAUCCAAUAGCAUGCUGAAUGUCAUCCCGUUCCCGAUUGUUAAGAGCGAAGCCCAAAAGCAUUAGCCACAUUUAAACUUCGAAUAGAAAUUCUAUCACCAGAAAAAGAGAUGGGGACUAUUCACAACAAGUCUAUCGCUAUCAAAGACAUACUCAAACUGCACAUAUGCUUGCCAUAGGUGCCAAGGUUCGGUAUCCCAAAUGGUAACCUUGAGAUGCUCCUCAAAGAAGUCCCUAGGACAUCAGCAAUGAUGGGGAACUGAACCUCAAACUCUGGCAUUGGGUUGAAACUCACGAUCUCCAUGUCCUCAUUUCCCGUGGGCCUUUGGGGAACAAUGACACGACCAUUUGCAGUCGGUUUGGCACCCAUUGGGCGUGGAAGCUAGGAGGGAGGAAGGGAUGAGGGUCUGCUCGUUGGUACACCAUUGACAGGGAGCUCAAAUGCACCAGGAUUCGUAGGUGAUUGGAGGUGGACUGUGGAGGCAGUGAAGGAGCAGGGUUUUCUCUAGGAGCUUCCCUGUUGCAAGGGGGAGAGUUUGUUGCGGUGGAAGUCCAAGGGACGUCAAGUAGAGUAUGCGUCGCAAGGGAAAGGCUAGUGGAACAUGUCUAGAGACGGUAGAAGGUUGUGGAGAUUCCACAGGCCCAAAAGCCUAUGAAGGAUGGCAAGAAGCCGGAAGAGUCCAAGGAAUAUCAUUCUAGGUGCAAGGCUUUCUAAAAACAACUAUACUGAGAUUCGAGAAAGAAGCAAAGCAGCUUGGAAAGCAGACUUGAGAAAGAGAUUGUUUGAACCAUGCCUGUAAAUUCUCCCAAAGAUCAUGUUGCAUUUCAAGUGGGAAAAAAGAAUCUAUUGGGGCUUGUUUUUGAAGGAAACCAGCACGAAGGUGUUGUAUUUCUUAACGUUCAUAGAUAAAUCCACAAGCGCACGGAUAUACCAUUGCAACAUUUCACUCGGGGAGUAUCAGGGUAUCGUUAUUUAUAUUUUCUCAAAGGAUGGCAGAGGUGUAAAAGAGUUUACUAGGUACAUAUGCAGGACAAUAUGCUUAAGCUAUAGAACACAUUUCAUACAGGGGUAAGUUAUUAUAAAUGAUAAUAGGGUAAUAUGACACACACACCCCAACCAAUCUUAAGAAUAAAGAAUAACAAAUAAACCACAGGUCAGUUGGAGCAUAGACAUACAAAGUGUAUCCUAGCAGUAUCUAUUCAAGUUAGCAAGGGUUAUACAACACAUGGUUAAGAUUAGUUUUAAGCGUUCAACAUUACGGGUAGACUACCCAGUACUGGUCUGGUAGCAACCUGGAAUAGCACUUUAGACUCCUACACCACAUCAGAACGUGGGGGAUUACAAGGGACGGAUAGGGCUAUUACCACAUGCUGUCUACCCGACAAACGGUGGGAUGUAGUCAUAUUCGAUGGAUCCUACGUGCCCUGGGCACCAUGCCCGUGAACAUGAUCACUAUUCUAGCCCCUCUGGAACCACAACCAUGAUGAUCAACAGGCAUAGAACAAGAGCAAGCUCGAAAGCACACCAAACCGAUGUUGAGACUUAAAGCUAAGCUAAACAUGGCUAUAUAACCUGAUAAAGCAUAAGGCAUGGUAUGACAUACUAUCAAGAUAGCAAGAGAACAAUGGAUAAACUCUGUAUUAUUGAUAGAAUACCAACAAGUUGGAUACAAAGCCAUAUCGGAGGCUGAGGGUUGCUCCAUGACCCGAGGAUGACUUGCACUCGCUAACAGAGAUUGUAGCCUAGCUCCACUAACCUAAGGAUUACAAGUCAUAACUAGAGAGAGGGAGAGAUGCUUCAAGUGUGAUGUGUGUGAGUGAAGCGUCCCCCCAUCAGGGAAGACUUAAAAGUGUCACUUUAUCAGUCCCAGGAGGCUGAUAACACUUUUAUUACAUCAGAUGGUACAUCACCGUAC